UGAGGAAUAUUGGUCAAUGGGCUUACGCCUGAACCAGCCAAGUCGCGUGAGGGAAGACUGCCCUAUGGUUGUAACCUCUUUUGUCAGGGAGCAACAACAUCUACGAGUAGGUGUUACGAGAGUACCUGAAGAAAAA
rnacentral:rRNA from 1 species